CUUACCCAUGUCUUUUGAGUCACCUUACGUUACCUCGGCGGGUCCGCCCGCCGAUUGGACAAACUUAAACCAUUUGCAGUUGCAAUCAGCGUCUGAAAAAAACUUAAUAGUUACAACUUUCAACAACGGAUCUCUUGGUUCUGGCAUCGAUGAAGAACGCAGCGAAAUGCGAUAAGUAGUGUGAAUUGGCAGAAUUCAGUGAAUCAUCGAAUCUUUGAACGCACAUUGCGCCCCUUGGUAUUCCAUGGGGCAUGCCUGUUCGAGCGUCAUUUGUACCUUCAAGCUCUGCUUGGUGUUGGGUGUUUGUCUCGCCUCUGCGUGUAGACUCGCCUCAAAACAAUUGGCAGCCGGCGUAUUGAUUUCGGAGCGCAGUACAUCUCGCGCUUUGCACUCAUAACGACGAGCGUCCAAAAGUACAUUUUUUACACUCUUGACCUCGGAUCAGGUAGGGAUACCCGCUGAACUUAAGCAUAUCAAUAA
rnacentral:rRNA from 1 species